rnacentral:tRNA from 1 species
UCCUCGCUGGUGUAACCGGCAGCACGCCCGCCUCUGGAGUGGGUAGUUCGGGUUCGAAUCCCGGGUGAGGAG